CAUCGGUGACAGGUGGUGCAUGGUUGUCGUCAGCUCGUGUCGUGAGAUGUUGGGUUAAGUCCCGCAACGAGCGCAACCCUUAUCUUCAGUAGCCAUCAUUCAGUUGGGCACUCUGGAGAGACUGCCGUGGAUAACACGGAGGAAGGUGGGGAUGACGUCAAAUCAUCAUGCCCCUUAUGUCUUGGGCUACACACGUGCUACAAUGGCUGG
rnacentral:rRNA from 1 species